CGCAUCUCGUGUGGUUUUGUCUACACCAAUAGAUGGAUGGAAUGAUUAUGUUAAUGCAGUUUAUGCCACGGGCUACGGUGAGAAGGACAACUACAUCAUAACCCAGAUGCCCCUCCCUGAGACAAUGAAGGACAUCUGGAGGAUCGUGCAAGACACGGGAAUCUCCACUAUUGUUAUGAUGAACAUGGUCGAUGAUACUUAUGAGUUUUCCACAGUUUAUUGGCCACAAGAGACUGAGCAGAUGGAGUAUCACCCACUGGUAGUAGAUUGCCUGGACGUAGACACAUCCAACACAGAUAUCACUGUCAGAAACAUGAGGAUAUCAAAGAAU